rnacentral:rRNA from 1 species
CANCGGCGGCUCGAGUGGUAACCGUUAUUAUUGGGUCUAAAGGGUCUGUAGCCGGCCGGAUAAGUCUCUUGAGAAAUCUGGCAGCUUAACUGUCAGGCUUUCAGGAGAUACUGUCUGGCUCGAGGCCGGGAGAGGUGAGAGGUACUUCAGGGGUAGGGGUGAAAUCUGGUAAGCCUUGAAGGACCACCAGUGGCGAAGGCGUCUCACCAGAACGGACCUGACGGCAAGGGACGAAAGCUAGGGGCACGAACCGG